rnacentral:rRNA from 1 species
UGCGUAGGCGGAUUAAUAAGUCAGUGGUGAAAUCUUUCGGCUCAACCGAGAAACUGCCAUUGAUACUGUUAAUCUUGAGUUCGGUUGAGGUAGGCGGAGUGAGUAAUGUAGCGGUGAAAUGCUUAGAUAUUACACAGAACACCAAUUGCGUAGGCAGCUUACUAGACCGACACUGACGCUGAGGCACGAAAGCGUGGGGAGCGAACAGGAUUAGAUACCCUGGUAGUCC